CCUACGGGAGGCAGCAGUGGGGAAUAUUGGGCAAUGGGCGCAAGCCUGACCCAGCAACGCCGCGUGAAGGAAGAAGGCUUUCGGGUUGUAAACUUCUUUUGUUAGGGACGAAGCUAGUGACGGUACCUGACGAAUAAGCCACGGCUAACUACGUGCCAGCCGCCGCGGUAAUACGUAGGCGGCAAGCGUUAUCCGGAUUUACUGGGUGUAAAGGGUGUGUAGGCGGGACUGUAAGUCAGAUGUGAAAUCCACGGGCUCAACCUGUGGCCUGCAUUUGAAACUGUAGUUCGUGAGUACUGGAGAGGCAGACGGAAUGCCUGGUGUAGCGGUGAAAUGCGUAGAUAUUAGGAGGAACACCAGUGGCGAAGGCGGUCUGCUGGACAGCAACUGACGCUGAGGCGCGAAAGCGUGGGGAGCAAACAGGAUUAGAUACCCCAGUAGUC
rnacentral:rRNA from 1 species